rnacentral:rRNA from 1 species
UACAGAGGUCUCAAGCGUUGUUCGGAUUCAUUGGGCGUAAAGGGUGCGUAGGCGGCGCGGUAAGUCGGGUGUGAAAUCUCGGAGCUUAACUCCGAAACUGCAUUCGAUACUGCCGUGCUUGAGGACUGGAGAGGAGACUGGAAUUUACGGUGUAGCGGUGAAAUGCGUAGAUAUCGUAAGGAAGACCAGUCGCGAAGGCGGGUCUCUGGACAGUUCCUGACGCUGAGGCACGAAGGCCAGGGGAGCAAACGGG